rnacentral:misc_RNA from 1 species
CCUUGAGCCAUGCGGUCGGCACCGAGGCGAAGGCUUCGUUGACCUCGAACAGAUCGAUAUCAUCGAUCUUCAUGCCGGCCUUCUUCAGCGCGCGGUGCGUCGCAGGCAGCGGCGCUUCCAGCAUGAUGACGGGAUCGCCGCCGAUCAUGGUCAUGUGAUGAAUGCGCGCCAGCGGCGCGAUACCGAGCGCCUUGAGGCCGCGCUC